UACGGGGGGGGCAAGCGUUGUUCGGAAUUACUGGGCGUAAAGGGUGCGUAGGCGGCCGGGUAAGUCUGAUGUGAAAUCUCACAGCUUAACUGUGAAACUGCAUUGGAUACUAUCCGGCUCGAGGAAUGGAGGGGAGACUGGAAUACUUGGUGUAGCAGUGAAAUGCGUAGAUAUCAAGUGGAACACCAGUGGCGAAGGCGAGUCUCUGGACAUUUCCUGACGCUGAGGCACGAAAGCCAGGGGAGCAAACGGG
rnacentral:rRNA from 1 species